GGGGAUGUCGCCAAGGGGUAAGGCAACGGACUUUGACUCCGUGACUCGUAGGUUCAAAUCCUGCCAUCCCUGCCA
rnacentral:tRNA from 2 species